UACGGGGGGGGCGAAGCGUUGUUCGGAAUUACUGGGCGUAAAGGGCUCGUAGGUGGCCAACUAAGUCAGACGUGAAAUCCCUCGGCUUAACCGGGGAACUGCGUCUGAUACUGGAUGGCUUGAGUUUUUGGGAGAGGGACGGCGGAAUUCCAGGUGUAGCGGUGAAAUGCGUAGAUAUCUGGAGGAACACCGGUGGCGAAGGCGGCGUCCUGGGACCAACCACUGACACUGAGGAGCGAAAGCCAGGGGGAGCAAACGGG
rnacentral:rRNA from 1 species